GGCUCUGAGCAGCGGUCACAGUGGUGUGUGAGUCCUCAGUCUUCCCCGAGGCCCUGCCGCUGCACGCCCAGGGCAUCAGUACACAUCUGGACAUGUGAGGGACAGUGGCGCUUGGCCCUUGCUGCUCCUCGGAGCCUGACCACUGCCCCUCCCUAUUCCACGGGACACUGGUGGUUUCGGACGCCAGCCCAGGUGGGUGUUCACCUUGCAGGAGUGAAUCCCAGCCACCUGAUGAACCUGUUCACCUACGAGAAGGGCUACUGCUUCGUGUACUACCUGUCCCAGCUCUGCGGAGACCCACAGCGCUUUGAUGACUUUCUCCGAGCCUAUGUGGAGAAGUACAAGUUCACCAGCGUGGUGGCCCAGGACCUGCUGGACUCCUUCCUGAGCUUCUUCCCGGAGCUGAAGGAGCAGAGCGUGGACUGCCGGGCAG
rnacentral:sRNA from 1 species